rnacentral:lncRNA from 1 species
CAGAUUGGAGAGGUAAUUCAGAUUAUAUGUGGGAUGAACCUCAACAAUUUCAACAAGGUGGAUAUUGGCAGCAAGACGAGUUCUAUUCAAGACCUAUGCAGCCACCACAGCAUCCCCCACAACAAUUCCAAUCAAAUCAAAAUAUGCCCAUGAAUUAUAAUGAAAUUCUGGAAGGACUAAUUUCUGUGGCGCAGGGUUUACGAAAAGAAGAACAAUUGCCGCCAUCGGAAGAGUUCUAUCAGUGGCCAUAUGAACCAUCACAGCCACCACAACAAUCAACCCAAUUCAAUUCAGGUACAUCCUUGGAUAAUGAUACACUGAAUAAUUUACUCGCCUCUUUGAAUCAGGGAGUAGAAAAUCAAAACCAGGAGAUGCAAGACCGAGUCAAAAAGAGUAGACGAAUUGGAUAUGCAUGUUGGGCAAAUUAUGGAAUUCAUGGCACAGAUUCAAGAGCAAAGUGAAGUCUCCAACUCAACUCUUGAAAAAUUCAAAGGCAGAAGUUGAAAUCGAUGAAGCCAUCACCUUGGAAGGUGACAGGGAGGAUGAAGCUGUCCCAGAACCAUCCACACACAGCCCGAACUUGGAUGAAUUGCUGCUGCAAGCAGAAGGGGAGGAGGACGACCUGGGCAGUUUAGAAGAAUUCUUGCUGCAAGCUCCUCAAAUCCCUCUGUCAUCCAACUCAGGUGAGGAAGUUCCCAUUUCAUUUCAUUCUAAUGAUAUUCCUAUUCUUGGUGCAACAAAGCAGGUCCUAGAUCGUGUUGAAUAUUUCAAAGGCCUUUGUUUCCCAAGAAAUAUGAUUCAAGAGAAUGAAGUGGUGGAAGCAUGUCAAGAAUACAUCCAAGGGGCUGUGCAUGAGACAAUCAAGCCCAAAGCCGUUGAGUUUGAUGACCCGGGACAAGCCACAACCAUCAUAGUAAAUCUGGCCAAGUUCAAAGUCCCGGAAAUGUUCAAAAAAUGUGGUGUUUGUCAUUGAGUUUUGUGCCAGAAAAAGAAAGUAAGCCAUCUUCUCCAAUUUUAAUUUUUAUUUAUACUAACAUUUUUCUGAGUUUGAUGAUUCAGGCACCCACUCGUGAAUUCAAACCAUUGCCGAAUCAUUUCAAGUAUCACCUCCCAUUAAAAGAUAAAUUCCAUGCUUUGGAGCCGAUGGGAGUUUAAAGGAAAGAUUCGUCCGGCUAAAGACGUUAAAUCAAGCGCUUCUUGGGAGGCAACCCAAGCAUUCAACGAAGGGAGACUUUGAAAUUGCUCAACAAAUCUUUUUCCGAUCAGAUUUGCAUUCCUAAACCCUUCUCUUCAGUUGUGAUUUCUGAGUUGUGAUUUAAUUUGCUUAACUGCUUGAUAGAUAACUUAUUUUUGUAUGUCGAUUAAGGAUGCAUACUUAAUUUACAUGCAUGAAUUUGAUGCUAGAAUAUAAGUGAAUUUCACCUAAUCGUUAUGAACUUAUAUUCACAAGUAGUAAAGGUUGCUAGUCACAAUCACGUUAAGUAAAUUCUUGGCAUAAGUUUCAUGCAAAUCAUAGUAACGAGUGCCUCGUCAAUGCUUAUGUUUUUCAUAGAACUUACUGAUUCUUGCUUGUAUCUCUAUUAUGCAAUUCAUGUAGGGAACUUGUAGGGAAUGUUUUGGGUUGUCGUAUGCAAUCAUCCAACCCAAUAACUUGUGGAAAAACUUGAAGGUUAAUUUAAGCGGACCUAAUUAAUCUGGGGUAUUGAGAUUUACAAUUUAUUGAAAGAACAACUGAAAAUCAAUUUAGGUUGCAUAUAUGUCAUGUGUGGAGAAGAACCCUCUAGCCAGUCCGUCAUUUAUCAUUUUACCUUAAUUUUAUGUUUUUGUCAAUUCUGUAAUUUAGUUAAGUUUAAUUUACUUUUCAUCAAAACCAAACACCCAUCCAUUAUUAAAUUAUAUUAUUUAGUUAGUUUUAUUUAUUGUUAGUCUUUUAAUUUAAUUUCCGUCCAUUUCAGUUCCUAGUGUUUAAUUUAAUUGUUUUCAUUAUUUUGAGUCAUUCUAAGUGUGUUUCGGGUUAUUAGAGUUUUUAGCCUAGUUUUGUGUCCUUGAGUCUUAUUUAAUAUAUUUAAAUUAAUUGAGAAUAGAUUAGCAAUCCCUCCUAAUCCCCGGCCUAGAACGAUACCCUACUUACAUCCAUACUACAAUUGUCAAAAAGAGGGUUUAAUUUGUGUGUCAGGUAAUUCUCGCACCAAAUUUUGGCGCCGUUGCCGGGGAUUAGCAACUUUGCUAAUCCUUUUAUUUUUGUUUUUGCUUAUGUUUAUUUGUGUUUGUGUAUGUUACUUUUGAUAUUUGAUUUAUUUUUCUUUCUUUGAAUUGAGGUACAAAUGGAGCAAGACCUGGAUUCUACUAGCAUUCAAGAUCUAUUGGCACAGCUCACUGCUCAAUUAACUCAUAAUGCCGAACGGACCACAAUGCCAAGUGUCCCUACAUUUGAUGUGCCCUAUGGGCAAGGAUAUCAAGGUCCUCAAUUUUCUGCAAAUGAAGAUGUUUGGGGAUAUCAAGGCCAUAACCAAUCAAGGGGCAACAUGUUUUCCAAUGCUUACAAUUCAGAUUGGAGAGGUAAUUCAGAUUAUAUGUGGGAUGAACCUCAACAAUUUCAACAAGGUGGAUAUUGGCAGCAAGACGAGUUCUAUUCAAGACCUAUGCAGCCACCACAGCAUCCCCCACAACAAUUCCAAUCAAAUCAAAAUAUGCCCAUGAAUUAUAAUGAAAUUCUGGAAGGACUAAUUUCUGUGGCGCAGGGUUUACGAAAAGAAGAACAAUUGCCGCCAUCGGAAGAGUUCUAUCAGUGGCCAUAUGAACCAUCACAGCCACCACAACAAUCAACCCAAUUCAAUUCAGGUACAUCCUUGGAUAAUGAUACACUGAAUAAUUUACUCGCCUCUUUGAAUCAGGGAGUAGAAAAUCAAAACCAGGAGAUGCAAGACCGAGUCAAAAGAGUAGACGAAUUGGAUAUGCAUGUUGGGCAAAUUAUGGAAUUCAUGGCACAGAUUCAAGAGCAAAGUGAAGUCUCCAACUCAACUCUUGAAAAUUCAAAGGCAGAAGUUGAAAUCGAUGAAGCCAUCACCUUGGAAGGUGACAGGGAGGAUGAAGCUGUCCCAGAACCAUCCACACACAGCCCGAACUUGGAUGAAUUGCUGCUGCAAGCAGAAGGGGAGGAGGACGACCUGGGCAGUUUAGAAGAAUUCUUGCUGCAAGCUCCUCAAAUCCCUCUGUCAUCCAACUCAGGUGAGGAAGUUCCCAUUUCAUUUCAUUCUAAUGAUAUUCCUAUUCUUGGUGCAACAAAGCAGGUCCUAGAUCGUGUUGAAUAUUUCAAAGGCCUUUGUUUCCCAAGAAAUAUGAUUCAAGAGAAUGAAGUGGUGGAAGCAUGUCAAGAAUACAUCCAAGGGGCUGUGCAUGAGACAAUCAAGCCCAAAGCCGUUGAGUUUGAUGACCCGGGACAAGCCACAACCAUCAUAGUAAAUCUGGCCAAGUUCAAAGUCCCGGAAAUGUUCAAAAAUGUGGUGUU